CGUAAUUUCCGGUUUGUAAUUGAAAAACGAGAAAUUUUGAAACAAUUACGUUUUUUGUCUACAUUUACUGCUGUUCGAGGAUGCUUCUGUCGAGUUUUGACAGGACAGUAUCCAUGCUCCCUGUCCGACACCCUCCCAUGUUGCAGUUAACAUUUCCCUGCCAGUCUUCUUCCCCCAUCAUGCCCAACCGACUGGUCCAAUAUUGUUCAAAACUAUAUGGAAAUGCCUCGUCAUCGUAGUUUGGAGUAUGUACAGAGCACUCAGGAUAACGAGCAGUUUAUUUGCUUGAUGAGACUGAUUUGCCGGGGAAGGGAGCAGACACUGCUGUGAGCAUGAUGAUCACUACUUCAAGUACCAUGGUUUGGAGAAGAAAAGCCGAAAUUGGCACUUUGGUCUUUGGAAAAGCAGCAAACAGGCCUGGCUUUGUGCAGUGCAGGUUUGUUGCAUCGGAUAUGGUGUAGUUUACCUUGAUGAAAACCAGAGUAGUUGUGUUACCUGAACUCCUUUCCGAAAUCUGCAUCAAGGGGAUGGAUCUUGAAUAGCAGUGGUAUUAACAUGACAAGAUCAGAUAAUACAGCAGAUUUGACAUUUAAAAAGACAGUGUGCCCUUGACAGUCUCAACCAAAGCAUUGAACAAACUGUGCAACCUGUUAAUUAACUUUUAGAGCUGUUUGUUUGGACUAGUAUUUGUCAUUCAGAAAUAAGUAGUAACAUUAUUUCUCAGUAUGAGAAAACUCCAGGAAUUAGAAACUUACUGAUAUUUACUAUAACUAUGUAAACAAACCUCUUAGGGGUUUAGCCAGGUUAAAGAAAGACAGGGAGCCACAGAAAAGAGACAGGUUUCCAUGUGUCAAUAGAACACCCUUCAUUUAGCUGUGAAGAAUUUUAACAUUUUGAAUGUUACAGAAAAUGUAAGGAACAUUGUAUAAUGUUUAAUUGAAGUACUAUUAGGUUUCAAGUGCCAAAUAUGUAAAGCCUGUGUGUAUUUAUAAUCAUGUUAAUGUAAAGUUGUUAUCAAAACAAAAUCAAUAUUUGACUGUCUUAAGCUUUUAAUUCUAUGAAGGCAGGAGGUUGCCAAUCUAUUUCUUAGAUCUACCUUUUUCAUAACUGUGGCCAGGGGUUUGCAGGCCCUUAUAACACUUUAAAAAAAACCUGAUAAAAUUUCAAUUUAACUUUGUUAACUUUGAUAUGGUAAUCUAAUCUUACUGCAGCUCAUUUCUGCAAUAUUAUGACUGAAACUGUAUGUUAUAACAAUAAGUAUGGUUACCUGUAAGUUACUUUAAAUGGAAUUUUUUGACAAGUAUAUAAGACAAAAUUAUUGGAAAAAAUAAGAAAAAAUUGUUUGUUAAAAGGUAUAAUGCAUGUAUGUAGACAAAAACAAAAUGAAUAAUUACUUUGUGUUUGAAUAAACUGUAUAAUAAUUGUUUUCACUUCUUACAUUUGAUAUAUACUCCAAAAUGGCAAUUUAGGAUUUGACUCCAAAAGUUUUGCACACAGUAUCACAAUAUAUUUAUAUAUAUCACAGGUUAUUCACAUCUACUGAUCUCCAAUAGUUCACUUUUAUUGUUCGCAUAUUGUUAACAUUUAUUGGUUCAUAGUUCGCGAAUGGUUCACAUGUACUAUUCGCAAAUUGUUUACAUGUACUGUUCGCAAAUUGUUUACAUUUAAUAUUCGCAAGUUGUUACCAUUUAAUAUUCGCGAAUUGUUAACAUUUAAUAUUCGCAAGUUGUUACCAUUUAAUAUUCGCGAGUUGUUAACAUUUAAUAUUCGCAAGUUGUUAACAUUUAAUGAUCUCCAUUUGUACAAUUUGUUCACAAUUUGUUCGCAAUUUGAGUUCGCAGAUAAUCUAAUUUGCAUGUGAAAAGUGAACAUUCUGUGAACAUUGUGCGAAUGAAUUCUUAGAAGAAGAUACAUGUUCGCAGAUAGUUCGCAAAAUAUUUACAUAUUAUUCACAAUAACUGUUCACAUUUAAUGCAUUUUUUCUGUAAGGGAUCUGUGUUGAAAUAGGUGUCGCACCAAUUAAUGAAUAUACGGCAGCGGAUGAACAACGGUCCGGCAGGUAUUGGAUUUGCCUCAUUAGCUUCGCCUCAUAGCUUGCUAGUUGAUUGAGGUCUUUCUGUGUUAAGUGGAUUGUCUCUAAGCCAUAGAUGAUUCUGGGUCUGGCAAAAGUGACGUACAUGUGUAGGGAUAUUGUGGGGUUUAUGCCAUUUCUUCCAUGCAGGCCUGCCCCCAUCAGCGAAUACAUUGCUCUCCUUCCAGUGCCAAUUCUGCAUGUGAUAUUCUGUUGUUGUUUAUGGUGUCGCAGGAUACCAAGGUGGGUGGUACUUUCGGUUUCGUGAAUAGUACUGUUACCGAUGUCCCAAUGUUGUGGUUCCCUUUUUUUGUCGGAGUUGUAUAUGACAAUUUCGCUUUUCGUUGUGUUUAUGUUGGCCCUAUCUUUGCUAUUAAACUUGUGGACCAGCUGGAGUGCUGCUGUGAGGUCUGCCGGAUUUGUAGAGAGUAGAGCAAUGUCGUCUGCAACUGUUGGGGCGCCUGCAUAUGUAGUGCCAAUUUUUGCGCCUAUUCAUAUCAUGAAAUAUAUUUCUUAAAAAUUUAAAGUUUAAAAUAUUAGAAUAUAUUUCUUAUUUUAUAUACUAUCAUCUAUCAUGAACAAUACAGUAUUUUUAUUA